CUGCUAGUUCCGUCAUCUUCACCAACCAUUCUUCCACUGUGCAGAAAGGGAAGAACAUGGACAUUGUGAUGUUCUGGUAUGCCACAUAUUGAGUGGGGCUGGAGAAUGACCACGAGCACCAUCCUGGGCAAGUGUGGUGGCCAUCUGUUAUGCUUGCCUAUGGUUUGGUUGACACUCCACCAGACACCAUGGAACACCAAGGCACAGGAUAUGGCUGGCCCUGCAGCAGUGAUCCCUGAAGCCAGGGAGAAAAAUGAAAGUCCAGGAUGGGGAACCUGAUGUUCAGUGGUACUUGUGAAAGGAUCUGGUUGCACUUGUCAACCACAAGUCAACUAUGAGCCAGCAGACGAUGCAGCUGCUAAAAAAGGCAAAUGCUCUUCUCGGGGGGCAUGAACAGGAACACAAAGUCCAAAUCCCAGGAGGUAAUCUGGACCACCGGUGAUCCCAUUUGGAGUGCUGUAUCCAGUUCUGGCCAUUGCAUUUUUCAAAGGAUAGUAGCAAAUUGGAGGGGGUUCCUAGGGGUUGACCAAGAGGGUGGAGGUUGGAAACCAAAAGCUAUGAGGAAGAGUUAAAGGAGCUGUGCAUGUUUAGCCUUGCCCAGAAAAGACGAUUAAGGAGAGAGAUGAUAGCAAUCUUAAAUUUCUGAAAUGUUAUCACACGGAAGAAGGAGUAGAUUUAUUCUCUAUUGUGCCAGAGGGUGGGACCAGAAACAAGGGGUUAAGAUUAUAAAGGUUGGAUACCAGGAGGAAACUUAUGAUUUUUUGAGCUGGCAUGAAGUGGUGAGUUUUCCUUUGCUGAAGAUCUUCAAACGGGUGGGAUAGUCAUCUGCCAGAGGUCCUGCAGUGACUUCUACACUGAGGAGGAGUUUGGACUAAAUGGCAUCUGUGAUUAUCCUAUAAAAGAAGUCCAGGUGGCCCAUGGAAAAGACACAUAAUAUUUGGAUAAUUUCUCAUAGGGGUGAGCUCUCAUUCAUAGCUGGAAGUUGUGGGACUAAGCUUGGUGUCCAUUAAAUCCAGCUCUCAUUCCACAGGCAGGUUUGCACUGUUCAGACCAAGGCUCAGCUCUGAUGAUCCUGAGUAGUUAUUAUCUGAUGUUUGCUUGUGUUCUUCUUGACCUUAAUCCAAACCUUCCCUACAGUUUCCAGAAUUUCUAAACCUGAGGUUCAUACAAGAAGUCAGUUGUGUGAGGUGAAAGCAGGGAAAAGCCCACUCAAAAGAUAGUUGAAUCUGAGCUGCUAAACUGUGAAUUGCUCAGCUUUGGAAAUGUUUGGAUAAUUUAAUAUAUCAAUUGAAAAAUGGCAUAAAUACAAUUUGGUCAGUAGUUGUUCUUGAAAAAAUAUCAGAUAAAAUUCAUACUUUGAAGAAACAGGAUGGCAAGCUGUCAUUCCACAGGAUCCAAAGGGUUUAUAUUUGGUUUAUAAAUGAUAUCAACCCCCAGGUUAUGUGAAAUACAUAAUAUGAUCUGUGAUGAUGCUAAACUGUCAUUAAAACUUUAAUAAAUUUACUUUUUAAAAAACCCAAGCCCAGCCAGAGGUGGCAGGAAGGAGGACCUUGGACAGCUCCAAGCAGGCCCUGCUCACCGACUCGCCUGCCAGAUGCCGCUCAUCUGAGCACGUGGCCUGCGCAAUGCCCAGGGAUGCCUCGGACACAGGGGCUGAAAUUUUACUUAUUUAACUGAUUUAUUAUGUUAGUGCCAAAGAGUUGCCUGUUGUUUACCACCGGACUCAGGUCAAUAAAAACGCUAUGCCUAGGCAAACUCUCCAUACCUGGCUCAAGGGCGGUGCCCUCGUGAGGGGCUGCAGGCUGUGCCCUGCUUGGCUCCUUGGCAGUCAGGAGCAGCAACCGCCAUCCUUCCUCACCUCAGGAGGAUCCUGUCCUGCUUCAACAAUCAUAAGAGGCCUUUUCUUCCUGCAGGAGAAGCCUGCAGAUUGCAAGGAGCUUUGGAUAGGUCCCUGCAGGGGAAAUAGGCUGAACCCAUGGGAAAUGGGCCCUUACCCCUUUCAGGCUCACGCCUCACUUCCUGCAUCCCCACGCAACUUCCAGUCUGCCCUGAGACAAGCAGAGCAAGGAAAGGCGGAGAGAAGGCGCUUCCGCCUGCAGCCGGAAGACAGAGGGAAGUGCGGCUGCCUUCAGCCCGCUGCUUUUUGGCCUGUCCAGCAAGGGCAGAGGAGUGGCGGGCAGGCUGCCACCAUCCACCAGCUCAGAGUUGCCCUCCUCUGGCCUCCAUGUGUUUGCUAAAACCCUAGGGACGCCUUCAGACCCUCUUCCCUCCGUCUGCAGCUGUGGACCUCUUAGCUCCUCUUUCAGCAGUUCCUUUUAUUUCCAGAAGCAGCUGAGGGACGACAGGGCAAAACGGCCAUUGCUGUUGCCCCAGAUAAUGAAUGCCAAUUCUCCAUAAACACCGGCCAUAGCAGCCACUGAGAGCUGAGAAUGGCACUGCUGACUACUACUGCCGCUCCUCUAGCUCUGCAGAUAAGCAGCAAAAGAUGCUUGGAGCCCCAACUUCCCAGCACCUCCUGUGCCAAAUGCCUGCAAUCCGGCGGUCCCUGCUGUGGACCCAACUGGAGGCAGAGUUCUGCUUCACGCAGGGCAGGCAAGGGCAGGGCUGCUUUUCUCAGGCCAAGGGCCAGAGAAAGAUCCUAUGAGAGAACAGAAAAGCUUCCUCCUCCUCGCCCUCCCCUGAAGACCCCAGGCAAAGUUGGAAAGGGCAGGAAUGUUGGGGUGCCAGGAGGCAGGGAAUAGUUCCUUAAAGCUCUGCCACCCUCCAGACAAUCCCAUCUACGAAUGCUGUUUUCUGGCUGGGGUGAGCCCUGGCUUUACUUCAGGUGAAACUUUAUUUAUAUUAGUGGCAUGAGAUUAAAACUAAAUACUUGGGAAAGGAGCUUAACUAGUUACCUCCUAAUUCUCUUCCAUACUUGUGGUUUUGCUGUUCAUUGUUUACUACUAGCAUCCCCAAUUUUUAUGAAUUGAAUAUAAUGAGUUUAAAAUAAAACAAU